AUUGAACGCUGGCGGAAUGCUUUACACAUGCAAGUCGAGCGGCAGCGCGGGGCAACCUGGCGGCGAGCGGCGAACGGGUGAGUAAUACAUCGGAACGUGCCCAGACGUGGGGGAUAACUACUCGAAAGAGUGGCUAAUACCGCAUACGAUCUACGGAUGAAAGCGGGGGAUCGCAAGACCUCGCGCGUCUGGAGCGGCUGAUGGCAGAUUAGGUAGUUGGUGGGAUAAAAGCCUACCAAGCCAACGAUCUGUAGCUGGUCUGAGAGGAUGAUCAGCCACACUGGGACUGAGACACGGCCCAGACUCCUACGGGAGGCAGCAGUGGGGAAUUUUGGACAAUGGGCGAAAGCCUGAUCCAGCCAUUCCGCGUGCAGGAUGAAGGCCCUCGGGUUGUAAACUGCUUUUGUACAGACGAAAAGACUCUGGUUAAUACCUAGAGUCCAUGACGGUACUGUAAGAAUAAGCACCGGCUAACUACGUGCCAG
rnacentral:rRNA from 1 species